rnacentral:rRNA from 1 species
CCGGGUUGCGGACAGUGUCUGGUGGGUAGUUUGACUGGGGCGGUCUCCUCCUAAAGAGUAACGGAGGAGCACGAAGGUUGGCUAAUCCUGGUCGGACAUCAGGAGGUUAGUGCAAUGGCAUAAGCCAGCUUGACUGCGAGCGUGACGGCGCGAGCAGGUGCGAAAGCAGGUCAUAGUGAUCCGGUGGUUCUGAAUGGAAGGGCCAUCGCUCAACGGAUAAAAGGUACUCCGGGGAUAACAGGCUGAUACCGCCCAAGAGUUCAUAUCGACGGCGGUGUUUGGCACCUCGAUGUCGGCUCAUCACAUCCUGGGGCUGAAGUAGGUCCCAAGGGUAUGGCUGUUCGCCAUUUAAAGUGGUACGCGAGCUGGGUUUAGAACGUCGUGAGACAGUUCGGUCCCUAUCUGCCGUGGGCGCUGGAGAACUGAGGGGGGCUGCUCCUAGUACGAGAGGACCGGAGUGGACGCAUCACUGGUGUUCGGGUUGUCAUGCCAAUGGCACUGCCCGGUAGCUAAAUGCGGAAGAGAUAAGUGCUGAAAGCAUCUAAGCACGAAACUUGCCCCGAGAUGAGUUCUCCCUGAGACUUAAAGUCUCCUGAAGGAACGUUGAAGACGACGACGUUGAUAGGCCGGGUGUGUAAGCGCAGCGAUGCGUUGAGCUAACCGGUACUAAUGAACCGUGAGGCUUAACCUU